UAGGGAAUUGUUCGCAAUGGGCGAAAGCCUGACGACGCAACGCCGCGUGGAGGAUGAAGACUUUCGGGUCGUAAACUCCUUUCGACCGAGAUGAAUACCUGCCGACCUAAUACGUCGGCAGGCUGACAGUAUCGAGGGAAGAAGCCCCGGCUAACUCCGUGCCAGCAGCCGCGGUAAUACGGGGGGGGCAAGCGUUGUUCGGAAUUACUGGGCGUAAAGGGUUCGUAGGUGGCCAACUCAGUCAGACGUGAAAUCCCUCGGCUCAACCGGGGAACUGCGUCUGAUACUGGAUGGCUUGAGUGCAGGAGAGGAACGCGGAAUUCCAGGUGUAGCGGUGAAAUGCGUAGAUAUCUGGAGGAACACCGGUGGCGAAGGCGGCGUUCUGGACUGUAACUGACACUGAGGAACGAAAGCCAGGGGAGCAAACGGGAUUAGAUACCCCGGUAGUCCUGGCCCUAAACGAUGAAUGCUUGGUGUGGCGGGUAUCGAUCCCUGCCGUGCCGAAGUUAACGCGUUAAG
rnacentral:rRNA from 1 species